AACGAACGCUGGCGGCAGGCCUAACACAUGCAAGUCGAAGGAGAAGCUUGACUUCGGUCGAGUGGAAACUGGCGCACGGGUGAGUAACGCGUGGGAAUCUACCCUGAGGUGGGGAAUAACCGCUGGAAACGGCGGCUAAUACCGCAUGUGCCCUAUGGGGCAAAGCUCCGGCGCCUUGGGAUGAGCCCGCGUUAGAUUAGGUAGUUGGUGAGGUAAAAGCUCACCAAGCCGACGAUCUAUAGCUGGUCUGAGAGGAUGAUCAGCCACACUGGGACUGAGACACGGCCCAGACUCCUACGGGAGGCAGCAGUGGGGAAUAUUGGACAAUGGGGGCAACCCUGAUCCAGCCAUGCCGCGUGCGUGAAGAAGGCCUUAGGGUUGUAAAGCGCUUUCACUGGUGAAGAUGAUGACGGUAACCAGAGAAGAAGCCCCGGCUAACUCCG
rnacentral:rRNA from 1 species